rnacentral:lncRNA from 10 species
CAGCCCCUGCCCAACAACCAAUAGGUGACAUCUGGGAAGACUGUGACCCCAUAGUGCUCAGCCUAUGAGGAACUGGGGGAGGGACCUGCACACUAAGGGAUAAAGUGCUUGUUAAAACCAUGCUGGAGGCUGGUGCAGUGGCUCACGCCUGUAAUCCCAGCACUUUAGGAGGCCGACGUGAGGCAGGCGGAUCACUUGGGGUCAGGAGUUUGACACCAGCCUGGCCAACCUGGUAAAACCCCAUCUCUAUUGAAAACACGAAAAUUAGCCAGGCGUGGUGGUGAGUGCCUGUGAUCCCAGCUACUCAGGAGGCUGAGGCAGGAGGAUCACUUGGACUCGGGAGGCAGAGUUACAGUGAGCCGAGAUCCUGCCACCGCACUCCAGCCUGGGCGACAGAGAAAGACCCCAUCUCAAAACAACAGCAACAACAACAAAACCGGGCUGGGCGUGCCUUCCCAUCGGACACCCGACCUCGCAAGACUGUCAUUAAAAGUCUCACUCUCGCUGUUCUCUGGGUUGUGAGUCCAUUCUCUGGGUGUGGACAGGCAUUCAGCUCAGUCUACGGCCCGCAGACAGAUUUCCUAGAAAUAACUGCUCCUACUUCUCAACUCUUAACAAAAAGGUCUCUGAAAAGGAAUUUGGAGGAAACAGACUAUUCCAGUGAAUAGUGUACAAGCCUGGGAGAUGCGGACUUUGGUGUAAAAUGAAGACCACCCUGGCCCGCCAUGCCCCCAUUCUGAGCCUAUAAAAACCCGAGACCCUAGCAGGGCAGAGGCAGAAACUGCUGGAUGCUGAGAGGAACGCAUCAGUGGAAGAAAACAAGCGGCUGGACGUGGAGAGGACGUCAAGGGAGCAUGCCGGCGGAAGAGCACACCACAGACGCCGGCAGGCCACCGAGCGGCAGGACCAGGCGGAGUUUGGCCGGGGCAGUCGGAGGAGAGCUAGGCCACUAAGCAGCUCAACUCCAGGAGAUAAACCAUCUCCCUUGUGGCUCCUCCGUCGGCUGAGAGCUGCUUCCACUCAAUAACACUUUGCACUCGUUCUCCAAGCCCCCGUGUGAUCCGAUUCUUCUGGUACACCCAGGCAAGAACCCAGGAUACAGAAAGGCCUCGGUCCUUUCCACAAGUACCUCUACUUGAGGUACUCAUUGACCUGGUUAACACAAGCUGCCUACAGACGCCAAAACUAAGGGCACCCUGGAACACAGGCUUCAGCUGUAAACAUUCACCCCUGGGCACUGCCGUGGGGUGGGAGCCUGCCUGAGUGUAUGCUCCCCUAGAGGUUUGAGCUGCGGGGCACUGAAGAAGUGAGCCACACUCCCAUCGCACACUGCGAGGGGGACAAAGGAACUUUUCCUCUUUUAACUGGGGCCUCAUCUGGAAUCUCGGAAGGUGAAUGUCUGCCUUCGAAAACCCUACCACCUGUCUUUCUUGUGGAACCAUCAAACUCCAAGUGGACAGGCAACUGGAGCCUCAGAUAAUGACUCCCCUUUGCUAGGAACCCUUAGACAGACCUCUGGGAGGAAUUUGACUGCCGUUUUCUCAAAAACAACGCCCCCUGUCAGCGGGAAGCAGCUAAGACAGGUCAUCGUCCAUAUUCUAAUAGCAGUUAGAUGUACGUUUUCAGAGAGGGGAAAUGAUACAGGAGUGCGGGGAAGGGAAGAGUGUCAUCUCUUUAAAUGAUACAGAAGGGAGGUGCUGGGUAGAAGAGGGUGUGGUCCCUGGCUAGGGCUCCACCCCCACGGACCUAGGUGAGGGCAGGCACUUUCUCCUUCUCACCCAAAUGUUGCAUUUUCCAAGAUCACCCUGGCCUGCCAUGCCCCCAUCCUGGGCCUAUAAAAACCCUGAGACCCUAGCAAGGCAGAGAUAGAAGCUGCCGGAUGCUGAGAGAAACACAUCAGUGGAAGGGAAGAAGAAAAGCGGCUGGACAUGGAGAGGACGUCAGUGGAGCAUGCCGGCGGAAGAGCACACCCACAGACCCUGGCACGCCGGCAGGCCACGUAGCGGCAGGCCACGUAGCGGCAGGCCACGUAGCGGCAGGCCACGUAGCGGCAGGCCAAGGCGGAGUUUGGCCGGGGCAGUCGGAGGAGAGCUAGGCCACUAAGCAGCUCAACUCCAGGAGAAAACCAUCUCCCUUCUGGCUCCUCCAUCAGCUGAGAGCUGCUUCCACUCAAUAACACUUCGCACUGAUUCUCCAAGCCCAGGUGUGAUCCGAUUCUUCUGGUACACCCAGGCAAGAACCCAGGAUACAGACAGCCCUCUGUCCUUUUGAUAACUAGAGGGUCUCAUUGACCUGGUUAACACAAGCUGCCUACAGACGGCAAAACUAAAAGAGCACCCUGGAACACACGCCCACUGGGGCUUCAGCUGUAAACAUUCACCCCUAGACACGGCUAUGGGGUUGGAGCCUGCCUGUCUGUAUGCUCCCCUAGAGGUUUGGGCAGCAGGGCACUGAAGAAUCAAGCCACACCCCCAUCGCACACCCUGCGAGGGGGACAAGGGAACCUUUCUCUUUUCAGUUGGUCUUAAUAAACACUGAGUAAAUGAAUGAUUACGCACUCAGAAAAAUCAGUUAUCCUCUCCCACUCCGUGCCUGGGAAGUACCAACGGGUACUGAAACGUAAUGAGUAAUGUCUAGAGAUUUUCUCCACAGGAUAGAAACAAAGCUCAAAGAGGCAGCAAGUUGAAGAAAGUGUGACACUGUUUUAUUUUUAGGAUUUUUUCCUCUUUUUUAAAAUAAAUAUACGUGUAGAGAGACAGGGUCUCCCUUUGUUGCCCAGGCUGAUCUCGAACUCCUGAGCUCAAGCUGUCCUCCCACCUCAGCCUCCCAAGGGCUGGGAUCACUGGCAUGAGCCUCUGCACCCAGCCCUUAGGAUUUUUUUUUCUUUUUUAAAAUUUUAAUUAUUUUAUAUAUAUUUUUAAGUUCCAGGGUACAUGUGCAGGAUGUGCAGGUUUGUUACAUAGGUAAACGUGUGCCAUGGUGGUUUGCUGCACCUGUCACCCUGUCACUAGGCAUGAGGACCAGCAUGCAUUAGCUCUUUUCCCUAAUGUUCUCCAUGCCCCCUGGCCCAGCCCUCUCCCAACAGGCCCCAGUGAGUGUUGUUCCCCUCCCGGGAUUUUUUUUCUUAAGGAAACACACCACAUCAGGCGUUGAAGUGAGUGUAUUGACUGUCUGAGGUUUGUGUGCACUUUUUAACCAGAAGUCAUGGCUGGGGACACAAAAGCACCUCCUUGCCUAUGUAGUUUUGUUCCUUUACUGCUUUAAACAAGCAAGAUGUGGUUUGCAUUCCUUUCGCUGCUGGUGUUGUUGGCUUUGUGUUUCUCAACAGAAAUAACUUGCCUUGCCUUUGCUCUCAAGGUUGUGAAAGCCCCCCACCCCCAUAUGUUCCUUCCACUCAUUUGUCACCGAGACCCUCAGUGUUGCUAUCUGUGCAUAAUGUGUGUGGGUCGGGUUGUGUCAAGCAUCAGACGACGUCGGUACCUCUCCUCACUGUGAAGGAUGACCCUGUACACACCACUGCUCUAGGCAAGGAUGCGACCCACCGUCCCGGGGUUAACCACAUCAGUGUCACCAUCACAAGGGGGUGACAGCCCUUUACAGAUUACAUCUCCUUUUCCUGGUGAUUCUCCCUCUUAAUCCCUAAAUGAGUCCUGCAAGAUGGGUGUUGAUUCUUCCUAUAGCACAGCUGAAAGAGUUGAAUGGCUCGUCCUAGAGCACACAGUUUGGCAGGGCUGAGUAAAAUGAAACCCAGUGCUUGUCCCUCCAGGCUGCGGCGAACCUGCACUAGAGUUUUAUGAAAGUCCAACUUCCUGGCGAUAGGCAGAAAAAGCAACGAUCACCUUCCCUGAUAUUUUCACCUAGCAGACAGUCUUCAGCCCAGAGAACAUCUUCCCAAAGUCCAAGACAGAAGGUACAUGUAGAAAUGAAAUAGAGGUUCCUCUUCAAAGGGACUUUCCUCCCAGUCUAAUUCAGAAUAGAUAGUAACCUCUUCUAGAAGCAAAGUUUACUCAAAGACCUGUGUUAAUAUUCUUAAAUUCUGCUAGCUGUAAUAAAGAAAUCAAUAUACUCUGUUCUUAGCUCCCACAUUUUAGUCUAGGUAUUUGCCCUGGCAUGCCUGAACCAGUCCAAGCAAGAAUUAGGUCAUAGCCUCUUCCUCUUCCUUAUUUGGAAGUGUUUUUGCCUCUCUCAGCAUUCCACAAGUUACUUCCUCUCUUCCUUUGUUCUCCUCUGCCUUUGCCUCUUUUGGGAAGUUCUAAGUUGCUAGCCAAUCGAGACAAACAGAAUGUAAGGUCCCAUUCCAGCCGAUAGAAACUGGGCACAGCAGUAGGGUAGCUGCGUCAGGUUAUAAAUGACCCUGUCUUUUUUUGUGUGUGCUCUUGUGGCAAGACUGCUAGCGAGCGGCACCCUUUCUGCAGAAAGUAAACUAGCCUUGCUGAGAGAUCCUUUGUCUCAGUGUUGAUUUCUGCAACACCGAGCACCCGUUCCCAACAGUAAAUGUGUCUGCCUGUGUGUGUACACAUCCACCCAUCAGCCACAACCCUAUGCCUGAAGCCAGGCACUAGAAUGAAAUUCUCAGGGUCAUGUCAUGUUUCAGAUUUCAAGUCUCACUUCCCGCACCUGUUACCAUUUGGGUCUAUGUCUCCCUCCCAGAUCAUCCUCUGAUUCUACCAGAGCCAAACCCGGAACCCUCUGCUCAUUUCACCCUUUCAACACACAUUUUCCAGGCACUUCUGCUGCUCAGCAUCUCCCAAGGGUGAGCCCUGAGCUCUUGCAGGGAUGAAUGCUUUCCAUGGCUUUUCUGUCUGCCUGCAGUUACAACCCCUGAUCUCUGGGGACAGGACCUGCCAGGUCUGUCUGGAGAAUACCCAUGUGAGACUGAAACUGGCUUCUCCCACUCUCAGCCCCAGUGACCUGCUCUGUAAGGCUGGUUAUAGGUGUGGCUGCUGCCCCUGCCCAAAUGCUUUAGGUUUCCCUCCUGGGAUUCUCCUGCCCCUCUAAGCAGCUCUCCAGGGGACCCCAUCCUGACAAAGAAAGCAGAAAAUGGAGUUCCUGAUGAGAAAAGAACUGUUCUGUGAGGAACACAAGUCCUUUUACAUGAUCGGGCACAGAGAGAUGUGGAGAGGGGACAGGAGUCCUGUCCUUCUCCCUCUGAGCUGUGUGUUCAUCUUCAGGAGCUGCGUGCGAUGACCAUGAGGAGCCACUAACUAACAAAUCAUGCCCACCGGAUGCUGCAACCUGCACCACGUAGCUUAGCAGUGUUAUUUCUGUGAGCCAGCGAGACUCCCGACAAGCAGCUUUGUGUCGGCCUGCUCCAUGUCACCCUCUUUUGCCUUAAAAACCUGCCUAUAAUGAAGGCCAAAGAAAGCAAGCUCAUGGCCGGGAAGCUCACAGCCAGGCGUACGUGGGUGUGAGUCUUCUGGGCUGCUGUCCUCACCCUGGCUCAAGUCAACUCUUUAAGUUAGACUUCAUGCCUCAGCCUCUUCCUUUUAGGUGAACACUGAUGGGAAUACAGGAAGGGCCCCCAUCCUUCCCUGUCUGAAGCUCAGACUCCGCAUGAGAGGACUUCCCACUCCAUCUCAGGAUGGAGACAGCCUGCUGAGGAUGCAGCUUUGUCCAAUGAGGUCAGGAGGGCUGGUGGCAGCGUCUGUUAAUUCCGUUGGGGCAGCCAGUGGCAACUGGCAGUUAUUCCAGCUGAGGAUGCUGGGAUGGAUUUUUUUUUUUUUUUUUUUUUUUUGAGACAGGGUCUUCCUCCGUCAUCCAGGCUGGAGUGCAAUGGCAUGAUCUCGACUCACUGCAGCCUCAACCUCCUGGGUUCAAGCAACUCUUCUGCCUCAGCCUCCCAAGAAGCUGGGAUUACAGACGUGCACCACCAAGCCUGGCUAAUUUUUGUAUUAAUAGAGGGUUUCACCGUGUUGGCCAGGCUGGUCUCGAACUCCUGACCUCGUGAUCCUCUGCUUCGGCCUCCCAAAUUGUGGGGAUUACAGGCGUGAGCCACCGCACCUGGCCUGGGACGGAAUUUUAAGUGAACUGCGGCCCUUAGCUCAUGAGCCCAGCUUCGGUGUCUGAUGAAACGACACCGCAGGGAUGGGGGAGAGGGGAAGAUUCGCAGGUCACGCCGAAACCUCUGGUUAGCCCCGGCUUCCACAUCCUUCCCAAAAUCUUUAGCCCAAGUGCCGCACAGCCCCUUUUGCAUGUCUUCCCCACUCCUUGGUGGCAGAGGCCCCUGUUGGUAAAGCAACAAUAGAGAAGUGGAGAAGAUAAAGAGCUGUGAAAACUGCCCCAGAGAAGCUGCAAGAAGCUUUGCUGGAAUCAGGUUUUGCAUCUCCGAAUCGGAGCUCCAUUUGUUGGGUCGGGGACCAUGCUUAGUGGUUCAAGAACUGACAGAAGAGGUGUUUGCAAAAUGCUUGUUGGGAGGAUAAACAGCUAAAGGAAAUUUUAUCUGAGCCUGAGAACCGCCUGCACCAGCACAAAAGUAAAGCCCCAGCGCCCUCGGGCCAGGCCUGCUGGAAAAAUUCCCAUGUGUCAGCCCCAGGAAGACGUGGGCAAGAUGAGGCGUAUCCUGACCAACGCAGGAAAUGGCCCUGCUCUUCUGCUGGCCCCUCUUCCACCAUCGAGGCCGCUCAUCCAAGCGGCGGGAAGUAAGAGGGUCAACUUUUGCACGGCCAUUGAGAGGUUUCCUGGAAACCUGGCUCUCUCCCCACCGUUGCCCCAUGAGCAUGGUGGUGACGAGCUUGGGCUCUGAGAUCAGAAAGUCUCAAGUGUGAAACCUCAGUCUUCUUCCUUAUUAGCUGUGAGACUUUGGGCAAAUUACUUAACCUCUCUGAACCUUAGUUUCCUCAAACUGUAAAAUGGGGCAAAUGUUGGGUGACACUCAGCAUAACGUCAGAAAUAGUGCCCAAUAAAUGUUGAUCUCAUCGGCCCCACAGCCCAUUCCGCCACUCUCUUCUUUCUCUUCCUCCCCACAACCCAAUUUCAUCAUUGCCUACAAACAGCCACAGGAUAGAACUCGGGACAGUUCGGGACAGCUCUGGACAGCCCAGAGGUUAUUUACAAGUCUAAGAGCAAUCAGUGUGUCCUGCCCAACUGCCCAGCUGUUUGAAAAGCACAGUAAGAAGCUGGUGCUGUCCAUAAGCCACAUAGCUUUCUAGGAAUGACAGGGGUGUGGAUUUACAAAGUCACUCUUGACCCUUUAAAAUAACACAACUAUUUUCUGCUCCCACCAUAUCUCAAGUGGCACCCAGAUUGUGAGGCCUUCCAUCCAGUGAGUAGUGUCAGCUGGAGAGGUGGUGACUGAUUUAGGGCUCCGGUUUAGGGCUGAACCAGGGUCAGCUGCUUCUUUGUGUGUUGGUCCCCUUCUGCGGAAAGCAAAGGGAUUGGACCAGAUGAUCGUGAAAGAACCUUCCGAUGUUAAGAUGUAGAGUUUCGAUGGUUCCAUGAUAGAGAGGGAUCACAGAAAAGCUCCACAAAGCUUAACCUCCCAGGGGGACAAUUACAAUAAUGUGAAGUUAAUGCUAACACAGGAUAGUUUGAUGUGGGUGUGACGGCAUAGGGAGGUCGGGGGCCUGGAGGCUUCUCAGACUCAUUCUCAGCACCAGAUGUGGCAUCAGGAACAGCCUGAAGGGAGGCUAAGGGAUCCCGCCCUCUCCCCAGCUCUGAAGAUGCCUCCACAGUGAAGAAGAGACAGGGAGCCCCCAACUCUGCACUUUCACUGGCUACUCCCACACUGCGGGGCAGGGGAGGAGGAAGACCCCAACACCUCCCACCACCGCUACAGACCCCGACCAAACGUCAGUUCUCACCUGCGCCACCGCCCCAACCACCCCUGAGAGCCAUUAGGUGACAGUUGUGCUUCACCCGCAAAAGGUCUUCCUUUGCCAAUUUUUGUCACAAGUUUUUGCAUAUUGUUUGCAUAAAUUUGCAGGUAGGAUUCAAAAGGUCCUGAUUCCAAUUACACAAGAGAAAACACACUGACUGCAAGUGCAGUUGAAGAAGGUUCUCAGAAGGGCACGCUGGAACCGCUCCCCGGUGCCAGGAGAGGUGUUUGAACUACGUGCUGCUGGGGCGCCCAGACGGGCUUCCCCACGAUCCAGGAAAUCAGAGCUUUUGCAACGUUGGCUUGAAAUCGUGGCUAACAAGACAGAAAAGUGCUCUUCUCAACCCCAGGGGAAGACUGGGGAGGUGGGCGGGGCCCCAGGGCCCACUGAUUCCAUCCAAGAGGGGGCAUGGAAGGACAGCGGCGAGCCCACGUCUGGAGCUUCUCCCUCCUGUGAAAGGCAAACAGAAUCCUGAGAUGCCAAACUCACUGUUCCAAAGGGAAAGGGAAAGCUUGGAAAUGGCGUCACGCAAAACCUGCCUCUCAGGAGAACCAGUCUGUUUCUGAACAGAGAGCUUGCAAGACGGCCGGCCAUGUAUCUCCCCGGGAGGCCUCCCACACUCUGACAGUGUCGAUGAGCAGCUGAUCCUCGCGAGUGUGGGACAAAAGACUAGGGCUUGCUUUUAUUUUUGUUCAGGGACACAGAGCCAACACCACCAGCUACUAAAGGAAUAAAACCACAUCUUGCUUGUUUAAAGCAGUAAAGGAACAAAAUUGCAUAGGCCAGGAGGUGCUUUUGUGUCUCCAGCCGUGACUUCUGGUUAAACACUCGAGAAAAACACAGGCUUGGCUUUUUCUUCUUUUCUGUGUCUACUCUAUCUGACGUCAGAUGCAGGUUUGCUGAGUGCCAGAUUCUCAACCUUGGCAUCAUAACCCUCUAAGCUGACUGAGACCUGGCUCAGACACUUUCAGUUUUGUGCUCCAAACACUGAGUGGUAACUUUACCCAGAAGUUCUUAGAUUUUCAGCCACUCAAGCCAGGCUCUGAUUUCCAAAAUAAGUCCAGAUCUAGAACAGUUUGGGGAAUGAAGGGAUCUGGCUGAGAGAUGGGAGUUGGAACAGUUGCGACACCGUCAGCCUCACAUGAACAGAAACAAAUUACUCAAACAAGAGAAGAGCAAGGCCCAACUGGAAAAGCAUGUGG